UGCUAGACCUGGAGGAGAGUGGAUGAUGCUCUGGGCUCGCUGCUAUGAUUCCACCAGGACAAGACCCUAAGAUUGAUUAGCUCCUGACACACCACUUUUCCUUGGAGGACUCUGGCAACCUUUGGUGGACAAGCAGCAGGACGUCACAAGAGACUGUCACCUGAUCUGUGGUCUUACUCAACAUACCCUUUUCCACACUUGGGGUCUGGAAGAUCUGCAGCUCACAUUUCAUCGUCCCGUCAUAUCAUGUUCACAGUCUUCCAAAAAGAGUGCCAAAGUAACAUAGUACUACAAGAAGAAUGGGAUGUGGGAGUAGCAGAGGAGAGACAAGAAGUAAAAUCGGGGCCUCAUUACCUUCCAGCGUGUGUGGGUGGAGGGGGUUAAGGCAGAAAACCUGCUUCAAAAAAACCCAUCUGUAUCUAUUAUGAAGGAGCAGUAAAAAGCCUUUUGUUUGGCUUAGCUGUUCACUUUUAACUGCUUUACAUUCCUCUCUCCCCCUCUCCAUUAGAAAGGAUGAAAGCACACAACCUAUUCAGAGCUCUCGGGACCACCGAAUUUUUAUUUCGUCAGUAUCCUCCUCUGCAGGAGAGCGAUCCAAAGAGGGAAGAGAAGCACUUGAACUUGCCCUGUGAAGGAAUGUAGUUAGUGCUAGGUCAUAGUUCUCUCUCCCUGCCAUGUCAGAAAUAACUUUACAUUCUCA